GACGAACGCUGGCGGCGCGCUUAACACAUGCAAGUCGAGCGAGAACCGGGGCUUCGGCCCCGGGGACAGCGGCGAACGGGUGAGUAACACGUGAGUAACCUGCCCUCGGCACCGGAAUAGCCCGGGGAAACCCGGAUUAAUGCCGGAUAGCCCCUCCGCCUUACGGGGCGGCGGGGAAAGGUAGCUUCGGCCUCUGGCCGAGGAUGGGCUCGCGGCGGAUUAGCUUGUUGGCGGGGUAAUGGCCCACCAAGGCGACCAUCCGAGCUGGUCUGAGAGGACGAUCAGCCACACUGGGACUGAGACACGGCCCAGACUCCUACGGGAGGCAGCAGUGGGGAAUCUUGCGCAAUGGGCGAAAGCCUGACGCAGCGACGCCGCGUGCGGGAAGAAGGCC
rnacentral:rRNA from 1 species